AGGCGAAACUUCAUCUUCUUCAUGGAGGAGCACCCAAAAUAUUUCAGCGGCUAGAACCAAAACUCAGACGCCUAAAAGAUCUGGGAGUGCCUUUAUUAAAAAUAAAAAAAACCACAGACCCCCUUCAUCAUAACAUCUCUCACGCUAAUUACCUACCACCCAACGGCCAGAACACCUUCGAACUCACCUUCACGCAAGCCUGAAAAUCAACCACCCUCCAUUAAUCUCCAUGUUGAACUGUCACUGCUGAUCUCUUCUUCUUCUGCAACUCCCCUGAAAUCAACCUAAAAUCACACACACACAAAGAUCUCCAUCGCGACUGCUCCUUCUUCUUCGUCUAUCGCAGCCACAACAACCUCGAAACCUACUUGAGUGCUUCAAUGUUGGUUCGAGUUUGUUUCCGGUCGCUGGUUUGAGAUUUCCAUCUUAGUCUUCGGCUUACAGUCUGUUCGUGUUUGGCCAUAGUGUUGCGUUCUUCUUAUAACCAGUUGGAAGAUCUUAAUAUAUCGAAAAGAUUCAAAGGUCCGUUGUUAUCUUCUUUAUAUUUUUUCUUGGAUGGUUAAAUAUCUAUAAUCUGUUAUGGCUUGCUAAAUAUUUUUUCGUAGAAGUCAUUUUCACUUAGUUGGUUUCAUGUUUGUUACUUCGUCUUCUUGUUAAUUAAGGAAAUUGCAAAAAAUUAGUUGAAUAAUGAGGGGAUUAGCAAUAAUAGACCAUGUGAAUGUUGGUUGAAAUUUAUUUAAGUUCAACGUACGUUUGUAUCCUACGUGCUUUAUGAGAAAUUUUUAAAACCUUUAAAUCUGAUUUGGUACAUUAGUUAGUGGUUGAUAUCGUGUUUUUGAUUCUUGGUAAAAUUGGCAAAAUCUGGUUAUUUUUGCCUUUUAACGUUAAAUAAAUUAAUGCGUGCCAUGCCAAAUAAAAUCCCUAAUCCCACGGCCCUCAAUUAAUUUUAACUCUUUAGAAAAUCGAGGUGCGCCAUCAGUUGAAUUUUCCAUGGCACUCACAAAUUUGAAAGUGCGUAGUUGCUUUAGACGCGCUAUUUUAAAAAUUACUUACUUAAACUCGAGUGUGCAUUUCAUGUGACCUAAAUCCAAAUCUCAACAACGUUAGAUAAAAUAUGUUGCGGACCGUGGGUGCAUUUCAUGUGGCGUGGUCCAAGGCGUGUUUUAAAUAGCGUUGAAUCUUCUUAAAAAUGAUUAGAAGCGGUUAAUAAUUUAAGAUCUACCAUAGGCUAAAACAUGUAUUAAAAUCAGAUAAUAGGCCAAUUAUAACAGUUGAGCGACCUUGCUAGAACCAUGGAACUCGGGAAUGUCUAACACCUUCUCCCGGGUUAACAGAAUUCCUUACCCGUAUUUUUGUGUUCGCGGACUGUAAUACAAAGUCAACCUUUUCCUCGAUUCGGGAUUUGAACCGGUGACUUGGGACACCAUGAACUAUCCCAAGUGGUGACUCUGAAUGUAAUAAAUAAAUAAUCCCUUUUCAAUUGUCACUUUAAGUUGGAAAAAACUACCUAUAUACUCCCUUACAGGGUGUAUGUAAAAAGGAGGUGUGACAAUCACCAUUGAAGAAUGUCAUUUUGAUAUCCAUUUGAUGAACAUGUAGGUCAUAAAUAGAUUCUAACGCAAAUAUAAUUCCAAUUAAUGUAAUUCUUGCUACCUUUACAUAUGUAUCAAAAUAAUCAAUUCCUUCUUUUUAUCGAAAGCCAUUACCAACUAAUCUAUCUUUGUAAGUAUGUAAAGUCUCAUCAGUAUGAUACUUUCUCUGAAACACCCAGUUACAAUUGAUAGGUUCAGAAAUUGGAGGAAGAUCAACAAGUUUCUAAGUGUGGUUUGAUAUUAUUGGAUCCAUUUCAUCUUUAAUAGCAAAUUUCCAAAAGGCUGCAUCUUUAUAAGCCAUAGCCUCUCUAUAAGUUUUAGGAUCAUCUUCCACUUGAAGAAUAAUUGAAAUUGUUCUCACAAAUGUAUCUUUAUUACUUUCAACAAGCCUAAAAGAAAUAUGUUGAGAGUCAACCUCAUAUGAUCCAAGUAUUUUAGCCUUUCGAACUCUAGUGCUUCUCCUUCGUUCACAAGGAUGAUCAUUAACCUCCUGUGAACUAGAUUGAUUAACAAUAUUUUGAAAUAUUUUUCUAAUGUUACAUCAGUUGACAAAGAUUGAAAUUUUCUACCCGAGGAUAAAAGAUAUUAAAAAAAUUCUACAUAUCUAGCUUCAAUAAUGUAAUUUUACUACAAAUUAAGAAGUUGAUAACCUUUUAUAUUUGAGGCAUAACCUAUAAAUGCACACUUGAUCCCUCUAGGGCCCAACUUGGUCCAAUUUUGAUCAUUACUUUUGCAAUAUGCAAGACACCCUCUGUAACGAUCCGAUUAGUCGUUUUCAGCAUUAAGGCUCCGUUCAUUGGUUCGAGUUUGCUAUUGACUUCAUGUUGUGAAUUAUGGCUUGCGUACAUGGUCGGAUUUGAUUUUCGGAUGUUUCAGGAUGUAUUUGGAUGAGUGAUUCUUACUUUAGAGGUUUAAGUUGAAAAUAAUGACUAUGAUUUGACUUUUGAUAAACGACACCGGAACAAUGCUUUUAUGGCUCCGAAAACUUCAUACUGUGAUUUUGGACUAGGGCGCAUGCCCGAAAUCGAAUUCGAAGGUCUGUAGGUUGAUAAUUUGUGUUGUUUUGCCAAAUAUUGGCAAUUUAAAGGAUUAGAAUUUUGAUAAGUUUGACCGUUGGUUGACUUCACAGCUAUUUUGUUUAGAUUUCUAUUUCAGGAAUUGGAAUAGGUCCGUUUUGUCAUUAAAAAUUUAUCUGCAAAGUCUGGCGUCAUUCAUAGUUGAUUUGAUAGGAAUCAGACGUGCGGUUGUAUUUUUAGAAGUUCCGGAGUUUCAUGUGUUUUGGAGGUCCGAUUCAUUGAUUCAAAUGUUAUUUUGAUGAUUUGAUCGCGCGAGCAAGUUCAGUUUAUGUUUUUAGACUCGUCUCGAUGUUUUCUUUGCAGCCCUAAGGGCUCGGGUGAGUUUCAGACGCAUUUCUGAGAGUUCAUUGAAAGUUCAGAUUUUGCUGGUGCUCUGAUCUCACAAUUGCGAGAAAUAUGUCACGUUUUCAACUAUCACAUUUGUGGUGUUGAUGGUCAAUUUUGACCCUUCCUUUUAAAAUUAAUUUAUUCAUACUUAAAUAUCUACAAUAAAUAUUUUAAAAGUAUUUUCCAUCAAUAAAUAGUUGUUUUAUAAAACAAAUUGAAUAUUAGUUUCGAAAUUAAUCACCUAUAAUUAACAUUAUGUAAUUAUGAAUUUACUUACUACAUUAAACAUCAUUAAAAAAAUUCUAAAAUACACCAUCUAGGCUUUAUAAUUAAUUUCGUGAAUUAUUUCUUAAAAUCCAAUUAAUUAGAUUGUUCUGUUAGAAAUUAGUGUUAUAAUUUAGAAUACAAAGUAUUUUAGAAAUAAUUAACAAAAAUAAUUGGUAGUAUAUUUAGUGAUUAUAAUUUCUACUAUAUUUUAUUGAAAUUGUUUAAAUUAAUUUUAAGGGGGUUAAAAGGUGAAAAGGCUACAAUUGCAAAUCUCUAAUUAAACACAAGAUGACCAUCCUUUAAAUUCAUUUGGCCCAAAUGACAAGCCCAACCUGGAAAAAGCACCUAGUCUAAAGACCCUCUAAGCCAUUGUGGCGAUCCGCAUCUGUCACUACCCAAAAUUCAACUAGCCGUGAUCGCACCUAAACCAAUCCGCUAAGUAAGUCAAUUAAUAAUAAACCAAUUCCAGUGUAAUUUGAAGAGACAAUAAUGAUGAAAUAACUGUGCUUUUAUACAAAAUCCCAAGGACUGGUAGUACAAAUCACGAGCUUCUAAGAUUUAGAGUUUAGAAAGCUGGUAUGACCGGAAUGCAGGUAUGUCUUCAAUGCUAGCUCCCGCCAUACACAGCAACAUCAGCAUAAAUAAUCUGCACGCAAAGUGCAGAAGUGUAAUAUGAGUACAACCAACUCCAUGUACUCAAUAAGUAACAAAUCUAACCUUAUGUUGAAAGUAGUGACGAGCUUGGACAAGAUCGGAGUCCAAGACCAAUAGUCAACAACAUUUCAUAACAAUAUAAUAAAAGUGAUAAAAGAAGUAACCCAGAGAUGUGAUGCUCAGCUCAUUAACAGUUACUUAAAAUAGUCAUACUUCUCAGGUAUAACAGUAAAACCUAAAUCCUUCACCAAAAUAAACCAAAAUACGUGUAAGUCAGAAACCUUUGAUAUUUCCCAAAAAACCUUCAACAAUAAAUAAGAUGUUUCAUUAUCAGAUAGCAUAAGGAAAGUACUUCUCUAUGCCUACAUAUAAGUGUGCACGUGAAAUCAUGAAUGUCACCAAAACUGUGUAGAAUGAGAAAAUGCAUCUCGAUGCAUGUACGCCAAGUAUGCAUGUCAAAUGCAAUGCAUCACAGCGAUGAACUCAUGUACUCAUUGUCACGACCCAAAAUCCAACUAGUCAUGAUGACACCUAACCCAACCCGCUAGGUAAGUCAAGUAACAACUAUCCAAUUUCAUGAGAUUGAUUAAGAGAAGAAAUGACAAUACAACUGCUUUUAUACAAGAACUUCCCAAGGACUGGUCGUAGAAAUCAUGAGCUUCUAAGAUUUAGAUUUUUUUACAAGACUGAAUUGAAAUAAUUACAACAUCUGCUUGAAAUGUAAAUGAAUAGAACACGAAAACAAUGCUACCAAGGACAAGUGAUAGUUAUCAGUAGAAUGCAGGUACAUCUUCAGAGCCAGCUCCCGUCGUAUGCAAUAACAUCAGCAUCCAACAUAUGCACGCAAGGUGUAGAAGUGUAGGAGAUGAAUAGGAGUGAUGUUUCUUCUACUUGGACAUUCAUGCAUCAUAUAUCCCCUUCCUUUACAUUUAUAACAUUGAAUAGAACUAGAAGGUGUAGAAGGUUUAGAGUUAAAGCACAAAUGUUACAUCCCACAUUUUCACACGUUAAAGGUGUCGUGAUUUAGUUGUCAUACGAUCAGAGAUCAAGAUUAUUCUCAAGUUCAGGAGUGUCUAAAACCAUGCAUGGUGUUGAUAACCAAUUUUUCCCUCAUAUAUUUCAUAUAUGCAUAUAAACUUUCAAAAUAGUGCAUGAGCAUCAUCAAUAUUUUUUCCUAAUAUUUUCAUAAAUUUAAAAGAUUUUUAAUUAAUUUAUUCCCAUAUUUUAUUGUGUAAAUAAUUAUUAAUUGCAUAACAGAUAAUUUAUAUGAUUAUCUUAUUAUCUAAUCUCACCAUUUAUAUCCAUAUUAAGGCUUAAAUAUUUUUUUAUACAUUUAUCACAAAUAGAUUUGCAUUUUUAAGGCUAAAAUUGUACAUUUUGCAAUAAUAGCCUGUAUAUACUUAUAAUUACAUUAUUUUUGCAAUUUUUUUAUAUUUUUAUAGUGUUAAAUAAUUAUCAUUAAUCGUUUUUAUGAACAAAUAAUAUUUUUACUAAUUUAUUUAUCAUUUUUUACAAAUUCUUUUAUUAAUUAAAUUUGGUAUUUAACUAAUAGCCACUAAAUUCACUAAUUUCGGACCUAAACUACCAACGCCUUAGCCCAUUUACCUAAAACACCUACCCAAAUUCUUGUCCCAAUACUUAAGCCCAAUCCAUAACCCAGUCCGAAACCAACCCAGCCCUUCAACGGCUCAUAUCACUCCCUUCCUUUUAAUUAACCUACCUAUCCCAAACCCUAACCCUCAUUAUCUUAGCCCCUCGCUCUUUAUAAUAUCUCGAACCUUCACCUCAUUCUAUCAAACCCUAGCGUCGUCACCCUCAAAUCUCUCCCAUUCCGGCUCAAACAUGGAAUCAGUCCAUGAUUUACUUACCUAUUUUGUGUUACUCUAUCAUUAUACGCUCGUCUAUGGUGUUACUUAGAUUCUAUCCCUAUUUUUGGCAAGAACUACCUCAAUAAAGAAUAGAUUCACCCUGAUUUUGUGAAGAUCGGGAUGAUCUUUCGUCGAUAUAUAUGUUUUAUUGAACGAUUAUUGCAUCUCUGGUCCGAUUCAAAGCAUCGGUCUCAACUAGGGUUUGAGACCUUUCCUUGUUCUUUAUUAAUUUCUGAUUGAUACUCUUUCCUUUCUCGCAUGUGACUAAUAUUUUCCUUAUUUGUGUUCAAUCUACCGUGUUUCCUUUAUUUUUACCUUAUUUGCCUUAAAUAUGAUAGUUAAUCGAUUCUUAUGUGAUAUUUUCCUUAUUCUCUAUUGUAUACCCUUAUUUUAAUUGUUACUCGCCUGAUUACAUGCUAGUAUUCUCUGUUAAUAUACUGAACUCUUUGUUUAUGUAUUAUUUGCCCUAAAAAAUUAGAUCCUAAUUGAUUCUUUGUUUAAUACUUACCAUGUUUCAUGUUUAUACUAUACUACUAUAUAAACCCCUUCCCUUUAUCAUUUAGGACAGACUAGAAAUCAAUAUACCCUCACUGAUAAAGUUAAGAUUUGGCUUUGUGCUCUCUUUGCUAUCUCGUUCUAUCUAUGGUUUGGCCGGCUGAAAGCCAAGGCCAAAUAUUCUGGGUUCUCGACUAUUGUAGUGUUAUUCUUACUUUUCUUGCCUAACUGGUGAGUGAAUAUCUUUUGUCAUUUCAUUCCUAUGUAUCCAUGACCUGUGUUUAUGAUCUAACAUGUUUACAAUCCAUUUUGAGCAUGAUUCUACUACUUCUAUGUUCCUAUGAUUUCCUUUAGACCUAUAAUUGAUACUGUUAGUUCUAAGAUUAGUUGUUUUAUAAUAGUGUGAAUCCUCUUAGAGGUUAACUUAAUGACUUUUAAAUUAUUUCAUUUAUGUUGUUUUGGUAGUUCUGAAUGUAUUGUGAACUUAGGAUCUUCAUGAUAAUACUAGUAUGUUCACCAGUUAAUCAGUCUUAAGUCUUUACAAUCUUGUAUUGUUAUUAAACCUUUCUCUGUCAUUCAUGUGCCCUGAUAACUUACCUUCUAAUGUGUUUUGUAUCCACUUAGAUUCAUGUGAUUAUCUGAUUGUUUGCCUUAAUGCAUCGUUUAAAUGUUUUCUGUGAUUGAACCAAGCUGUCUUAAAAUGUUAGCAUGUACACUUAGCCUAAUUAGGCCAUUCAGACUUUAAGUCAUUAGAUACUGUGCAUGAACAACUUUGCAAAUCUUACCAAUUUGUCUUCUCAAUGCAAUUCGGCCUAUGUAUUAUGUGUUUUAAACUCUGUCACGAUGGCUUUUUUUAAAAUCAAACCUGUCUUAAAAAUUGUCUCUUUGUGUGUUGCUACCUUAAACUCCUAUUCUUAGGUCCUGUAGGUUCUAUCUUUUACCUCCCCAGUGUGAGCACUGCUCGGGGUCCAUGUGAGACUCUUGUGUACUCUGACACACUAGGGUUUGGUUCCUAACCUCCUUUGAAUUAUUUCUGAGCAUUUGUUCCUCUAGUGUGAGCAUUGCCCUGUGUCCUUGAAGCCCUUGGAAACUUUGACACACUAGAGAUUUGGAUACUAUUGUGAUUAUUCUAUACCUGUGAAUGUGAGCUUUGGAGCUACUAUGGUUUGAAGGCCUAGGUUGCCCUGGUGUAUUUGGGCCUGUUGUAGUCUCUCUAUAGUUUAUUUCAUUAUUAUGUAAUUCAUUCAUUAAUCUGGUUUGCAAUAAUUUUGUAACAAACAACUCUGGGGUAUUUAGUAAAAUCGAGAAGGGUUUCUUA
rnacentral:lncRNA from 1 species